UACGUAGGGUCCGAGCGUUGUCCGGAUUUAUUGGGCGUAAAGAGCUCGUAGGCGGUUCCGUAAGUCAGAUGUGAAAACUCAGGCACAUCCGAACCGGAGCGCCAUCUGAUACUGCGGUGACUGGAGUCUGGUAGGGGAACACGGAAUUCCUGGGUGUAGCGGGUGAAAUGCGCAGGAUAUCAGGAGGAACACCGAUGGCGAAGGCAGUGUUCUGGGCCAGUACUGACGCUGAGGAGCGAAAGCGUGGGGAGCAAACAGG
rnacentral:rRNA from 1 species